AGAGUUUGAUCCUGGCUCAGGAUGAACGCUGGCGGCGUGCUUAACACAUGCAAGUCGAACGAUGAUGCCCACUUGUGGGUGGAUUAGUGGCGAACGGGUGAGUAACACGUGAGUAACCUGCCCUUGACUCUGGGAUAAGCCUGGGAAACUGGGUCUAAUACCGGAUAUGACCUUCCAUCGCAUGGUGGUUGGUGGAAAGCUUUUGUGGUUUUGGAUGGACUCGCGGCCUAUCAGCUUGUUGGUGGGGUAAUGGCCUACCAAGGCGACGACGGGUAGCCGGCCUGAGAGGGUGACCGGCCACACUGGGACUGAGACACGGCCCAGACUCCUACGGGAGGCAGCAGUGGGGAAUAUUGCACAAUGGGCGCAAGCCUGAUGCAGCGACGCCGCGUGAGGGAUGACGGCCUUCGGGUUGUAAACCUCUUUCAGUAGGGAAGAAGCGAAAGUGACGGUACCUGCAGAAGAAGCGCCGGCUAACUACGUGCCAGCAGCCGCGGUAAUACGUAGGGCGCAAGCGUUAUCCGGAAUUAUUGGGCGUAAAGAGCUCGUAGGCGGUUUGUCGCGUCUGCCGUGAAAGUCCGGGGCUCAACUCCGGAUCUGCGGUGGGUACGGGCAGACUAGAGUGAUGUAGGGGAGACUGGAAUUCCUGGUGUAGCGGUGAAAUGCGCAGAUAUCAGGAGGAACACCGAUGG
rnacentral:rRNA from 1 species